AACGAACGCUGGCGGCAUGCCUAACACAUGCAAGUCGAACGAGACCUUCGGGUCUAGUGGCGCACGGGUGCGUAACGCGUGGGAACCUGCCCUUAGGUUCGGAAUAACUCCCCGAAAGGGGUGCUAAUACCGGAUAAUGUCUUCGGACCAAAGAUUUAUCGCCUUUGGAUGGGCCCGCGUUGGAUUAGCUAGUUGGUAGGGUAAAAGCCUACCAAGGCGACGAUCCAUAGCUGGUCUGAGAGGAUGAUCAGCCACACUGGGACUGAGACACGGCCCAGGCAUCUACGGGAGGGAGCGGUAGGGAAUAUUAGACAAUGGGCGAAAGCCUAGUCCAGCAAUGCCGCGUGAAUGAUGAAAGGCUUAGGGUUGGAACAGUCUUUUACCCGGGAUGUUUAUUGACGUUACGGGAGAAUAAGCUCCGGCUAACUCCGUG
rnacentral:rRNA from 1 species